CGCCCAGCCACUCAGGAGCGGAUGACACACCAACCUAAGCUGAUGGAGUGGUGUUAGAAUCCAAGCUGGAAGAGCAGAAAUGCUUUCCUUGCCCUUUCUAGCCUUUUUGAGGCAUGGAGUCAGGGCCCAUUUCAAAGAUGUGCAUGUGGGGAGCUCACAUCACCUGGGACUGUAAUGUGUGGGCUGUGCUGAGUAUUUGCCUCCUGUCCUGGUAUCACUCUGCCUCCUACUCUCCACACUUUUGAGACGCUGUCGUCUGCACUGGGGCUCUCUGCGGUGCCUCGUCCGUCAUCAUGGGUCAUCCCAACGCGCCCUCGACAUUCACCACAGACCUGAGGCAUCUGAACGGAUGCUGUGCUCUGAGGAGUCUGGCAAACGGGCGCCCUGCUUCUAGGUUAUUCUGUGAUUGAAGCUUCACCCAGAGAUCUGCCAAGAAUGUGGACAGGAUGUCUUCAUCUAGCCCCAGCUUUAGGAGCUUCCAUGUGGGAUAUUUCCCCAUGAAGGACCUUGAUAACAAAGACGAGAAUACAGUCCUGUGGGAGUGUCUAGCUUCUGUUCCCACUGCCUCAUUAUAUGCAUGGCUUUUAAUAUUCGGAGAGCCUUUUGCCAAUACACAUUUUCUCAUGAACUGGGAAACUGGAGCCUGAAUGUGAUGUAUUAUUGAUAGGAUUAUAAUUUACUCCUCUCGGGUUGUAUCUACAGUGUAUACCAUUAGCACAAAAUAUUAAAUUACCAAUGGUUGUAUAUAUUUGUCUAUUCAGGUUUGGCUCAAUGAUAUUUGCC